ACUCCUACGGGAGGCAGCAGUGGGGAAUAUUGCACAAUGGGCGCAAGCCUGAUGCAGCCAUGCCGCGUGUAUGAAGAAGGCCUUCGGGUUGUAAAGCACUUUCAGUCGUGAGGAAGGUAGUGUAGUUAAUAGCUGCAUUAUUUGACGUUAGCGACAGAAGAAGCACCGGCUAACUCCGUGCCAGCAGCCGCGGUAAUACGUAGGGUGCAAGCGUUGUCCGGAUUUAUUGGGUUUAAAGGGUGCGUAGGCGGGCUAUUAAGUCAGUGGUGAAAUCCGAGCAGCUUAACUGUUGAUGUGCCAUUGAUACUGGUAGUCUUGAGUACAGAUGAGGUAGGCGGAAUUUGACAGUGUAGCGGUGAAAUGCAUAGAUAUUGUCAAGAACUCCGAUAGCGAAGGCAGCUUACUGGGCUGUAACUGACGCUGAUGCACGAAAGUGUGGGGAUCAAACAGGAUUAGAUACCCUGGUAGCGAGUAG
rnacentral:rRNA from 1 species